rnacentral:rRNA from 1 species
GCAAGUCGAACGCGAAAGCAGUCUUCGGACUGCCGGUAGAGUGGCGCACGGGUGAGUAACGCGUAGAUAAUCAACCCUGGGGAUUGGGAUAACUUCUGGAAACGGAAGCUAAUACCGAAUAAUACUUCUUUUUUAAGUGAGAAGUUGAAAUGGUCCGCCGCCCUGGGACGAGUCUGCGUACCAUUAGCUAGUUGGUGGGGUAAUGGCCCACCAAGGCGACGAUGGUUAGCGGGUCUGAGAGGAUGAUC